rnacentral:rRNA from 1 species
AUCUGGCUCAGGAUGAACGCUGGCGGCGUGCUUAACACAUGCAAGUCGAACGGGAAACUUUUCAUUGAAGCUUCGGCAGAUUUGGUCUGUUUCUAGUGGCGGACGGGUGAGUAACGCGUGGGUAACCUGCCUUAUACAGGGGGAUAACAACCAGAAAUGGUUGCUAAUACCGCAUAAGCGCACAGGACCGCAUGGUCCGGUGUGAAAAACUCCGGUGGUAUAAGAUGGACCCGCGUUGGAUUAGCUAGUUGGCAGGG